rnacentral:rRNA from 1 species
UACGUAGGGUGCAAGCGUUAAUCGGAAUUACUGGGCGUAAAGCGUGCGCAGGCGGUUUUGUAAGCCAGAUGUGAAAGCCCCGGGCUCAACCUGGGAACUGCGUUUGGAACUACAAGACUAGAGUGUGUCAGAGGGGGGUGGAAUUCCGCGUGUAGCAGUGAAAUGCGUAGAGAUGCGGAGGAACACCGAUGGCGAAGGCAGCCCCUGGGAUAACACUGACGCUCAUGCACGUAAGAACGUCGGGUA